UAAAAAAAAAAAAAAAAUAAAUAAAAAAGCUACGUUUAAAAAAAAAAUAAUUCUAUUUAUACUAUUUUUUAUUCUAUUCAUUUUUAUGUGUGAACAGGUUAAUAUAUUAAUUUAUCAAGAGAAUGGAUGUAUACUUGAGAUAAAAAAUCAUAGCUAUGACAGCAAAUGUAUUCAAUUACAUUAUGCAUCGAAUGAACAUUAUAACAGUGUUCGGUUCAAGAACAAGGCUUUAGAAAACGAACUGAUGUCUAUUAUUGAUUUAAAAGAAAUACUAAACAGCCAGGAAGAUAGUGACUCUAUAAAAACGUUUUACGAAACAACUGAAAAUGAGCUGAGUGAUUAUAAUAUUGAUGAUAUAGAUAUAAGUAAAAAAGAGGAUGAAAUAGAAGAAGAUAAUACGAGUAUACAUAAAAUAAAUAAUAACAAUAAUCAAUCUAAAAGUGCUGAUAAAUGUUUAUGUAGUGACAGUUUUAUUAAUAAUAUGUUUUUAUUUAAUAAUAGUUUUAUGUGUAAAUAUGAUAUUGAUAAAAAUAAUAAUAAUAAUGAUAAACACAUUGUUAAUAAGAGCAGCAAUAUGUUACAUCAACAUGAAGAAAAUGAUGUUUGUGGUUAUAAUGGCUGUAUCCACGAUAGUAGUAGAUAUUAUGACAGUGAUACAAAUAAAGUGAGCUCAUUAAAUAUAUUGCAUAGCAUAUCCGAUAGUGUGAAAAAUAAAAGAGCUAGAAGUAGAAGUAUGCCCAGUAUAAAUGAAUAUUUUUUUUAUUUUUUAACUGACAACAUAUUAGAUGAUGAUAUUAAUAGUGAUAGCACUAUUGAUUAUUUAAAUGAACAAAAAAAGGAAAACCUUAAAAAGGAAAACUGUAAAAAAGAAAAUCAAAAAAAGGAAAAUCGUAAAAAGGAAAAUCGUAAAAAGGAAAAUCAAGAUGAAAUUGUGCAUGGGAAUGGGGACGAACAAGAACAAGAACACGAACACGAACACGAACACGAACACGAGAAGAGAACAAAAAUAACUAAAAGAAUAAUAAAAAAAAAGAAGCAACUAUACAUUUUUAAAUGUAAUUACAUAUAUCAAAAAAAUGAACAUUUAUUAUACGAUUUUUUAUUCGAAAAAAAUAGUAGUAAUAAAAAGAAACCAAUUCGCUUUUUUUUUAAUAAGCAUUUUUAUAAGAAUCUAUGUUUCAGUAAAACAGUAGAACAAGAACCAAGAAAGUUAAUAAAAGAUUUACCAAAUUUAACAGAAAAAGAAAAGGUUAUAAAUGUAUGUACUAAUGAUAAAAGCUAUUUGUUAGAUGGUAAUGAUAAGGUAAAUGUAAGUAAAAAUUUAUAUAAAACACAAAGUGAUGAACACAUAGAUGGUAGUUUUAGUAGUGCUACUAACAAGAAUAGUCAUAGAAACGGGUAUAACAACAUAGACAAUUAUAAUAGCAGUCAUAGUGUCGUAAGAAAGUAUGAUAACAAUAGUCAUAACACAUGCAUACAUGAGGCAUAUAUAUCGAAUUAUGAAAUAGAAGAAAGUGUUAAACAAAUAAUAAAAAAAAAAAAAAAAAAAAAAUUGGUAUGUAAUAAAAAAUAUAUAAAUACUGAUAGUAAAGAGUGGUCAGAGGGUAUAUGUGACAACAAUAGUAAUACACAUUAUAAUAAUAAGAAUAAUAUAGGAAAAAAUAAUAGUAACAUAUGUUGCAAUAGUAGUUGUAAAAAAUACAACCAUGAAAAAAACUUACUAAAUAAUAUAAACACUUGCAAUAACAAGAAAUAUGCGAAUACUUUUGAUAUUGUAGUUGACGAUUAUAUAUUAAAGGUUGAUCUUAAUUCCUUUUUUUUUGAUAUAUAUAAUAACACCUUAAAAAAAAAAAACUCCGGAUCCAACUAUUAUUCACAUUUCUUAAAUAAAGAAGAAAGCACAAAUUUAGCAACAAGUGUAUCUAAUUGUCCAAUGAAUAAUGAAAGUUUACAAUUUUAUGAAAGCUCAUGUAUGAGUAGUGGGACUGGUAAUAAUAGUGGAUGUUUAACACGAGAUAUAUUGGGGAGUGGUGAUUUCGAUAAUGGUUUUUUAAGAAGUUUUAAGACAGAGUCUAAUGUUGUGUCAAAUAGUAAUGACGACACGAGUAACAACAUACAUAACCUAAAUAGUGACAAUUUAAAUUAUAAUAGAAGCAUUAGCCUUUUGAAUGCAAAACAACCAAAUAGAAGUUAUACAAGCAUAAACAUGAAAGAACUAUCAAUAAAAAAGAAAUACCAAAAAAAAAAAUUUAUGAAUAUGUUCAAUAAAGAUAUAACAUCUAAAAACUUAUAUAAUUUUUUAAAUAUUGAUUAUAUAUUAAAUAAUGAAAAGAUAAAAUUUAUAAUACCUUUUUAUUUUAAAAAAGAAAAAGUAAAUAUAUUUAAAAAAAAAAACCUGAACAUAAUAAAUUUUAAUUUUUGUAAUCAUGUAUAUUUUACAUUUAACUUGAAUAAACAUAUGUUAAACAAAAAAAUUAAUUAUUUUAAAAAUCUAUAUGAAGAGUUCUUAAAUAAAGAAAAACAUAAAUAUAAAAAAA
ensembl:lncRNA